AACGAACGCUGGCGGCAGGCCUAACACAUGCAAGUCGAGCGCCCUUUCGGGGGAGCGGCGGCCGGGUGAGUAACGCGUGGGAAUAUGCCCUUCUCUACGGAAUAGCCUCGGGAAACUGAGAGUAAUACCGUAUACGCCCUGUGGGGGAAAGAUUUAUCGGGGAAGGAUUAGCCCGCGUUGGAUUAGGUAGUUGGUGGGGUAAUGGCCUACCAAGCCGACGAACCAUAGCUGGUUUGAGAGGAUGAUCAGCCACACUGGGACUGAGACACGGCCCAGACUCCUACGGGAGGCAGCAGUGGGGAAUCUUAGACAAUGGGGGCAACCCUGAUCUAGCCAUGCCGCGUGAGUGAUGAAGGCCUUAGGGUUGUAAAGCUCUUUCAGCUGGGAAGAUAAUGACGGUACCAGCAGAAGAAGCCCCGGCUAACUCCGUG
rnacentral:rRNA from 1 species